rnacentral:rRNA from 1 species
AUUGAACGCUGGCGGCAUGCUUUACACAUGCAAGUCGAACGGUAACAGGGAGCUUGCUCCGCUGACGAGUGGCGAACGGGUGAGUAAUGCAUCGGGAACGUACCCAGUCGUGGGGGAGUAACGUAGCGAAAGUUAACGCUAAUACCGCAUACGUCCUGAGGGAGAAAGCGGGGGACCGGUAAGGCCUCGCGCGAUUGGAGCGGCCGAUGUCGGAUUAGCUAGUUGGUGGGGUAAAGGCCUACCAAGGCGACGAUCCGUAGCGGGUCUGAGAGGAUGAUCCGCCACACUGGGACUGAGACACGGCCCAGACUCCUACGGGAGGCAGCAGUGGGGAAUUUUGGACAAUGGGGGGCAACCCUGAUCCAGCCAUGCCGCGUGAGUGAAGAAGGCCUUCGGUG